CUCUGGCGGAGAGAGGCGCAGGAGCUGGGGGGCCUCUUCUCAGACACUGCCGCGCAGUUCAAGACUUGAAUGAGGGAGUCGGCUGCCGUGGAGGGAUAAAAUAAAGGGAUGCUCUGAAUGCCGCCUCUGUCUCGGCAAGCGACAGAGAAGAAGAAAAGCGAGCCGAAACAAGUGAAGGGACAAAAAGGGGAUCUCGGAAAUGAAUGAGAGCUCUUGCGCAGUGUGCAGUGGGAAUAACGGUCCAUGGAAAGUCUCCAAGUAAGCUGAUGCUGUUCUCCGAAGUGACAGAAAAUGAUAUACUCAUUUGCACAGCAGGGUAAUUUUAGCUGGAGAAAUUCAAGGUAAGUAUUCCACUCAAGGGUACUAUAGCAGGAGUAGAGCCCCCUGAGACCCACUGAAGCCCCUCAGAUUGGAUUUGAACCUGGGACCUCCGAGUCCCAAGGCAGGGCCUUCACCUCUACACAGCCUGGCAC
rnacentral:lncRNA from 1 species